rnacentral:rRNA from 1 species
UGGCGGCGUGCUUACACAUGCAAGUCGAGCGGAAAGGCCCUUCGGGGUACUCGAGCGGCGAACGGGUGAGUAACACGUGAGUAACCUGCCCUUGGCUCUGGGAUAGCUCCGGGAAACCGGAAUUAAUACCGGAUAUGACCACGGAAGACAUCUUGUGUGGUGGAAAGAUUUAUCGGCCAGGGAUGGGCUCGCGGCCUAUCAGCUAGUUGGUGGGGUAACGGCCUACCAAGGCGACGACGGGUAGCCGGCCUGAGAGGGCGACCGGCCACACUGGGACUGAGACACGGCCCAGACUCCUACGGGAGGCAGCAGUGGGGAAUAUUGCGCAAUGGGCGAAAGCCUGACGCAGCGACGCCGCGUGGGGGAUGAAGGCCUUCGGGUUGUAAACCCCUUUCGGCAGGGACGAAGCGAAAGUGACGGUACCUGCAGAAGAAGCGCCGGCUAACUACGUGCCAGCAGCCGCGGUAACACGUAGGGCGCAAGCGUUGUCCGGAAUCAUUGGGCGUAAAGAGCUCGUAGGCGGUUUGUCGCGUCUGCUGUGAAAACUCGGGGCUUAACCCCGAGCUUGCAGUGGAUACGGGCAG